GAUGAACGCUGGCGGCGUGCCUAAUACAUGCAAGUCGAGCGAACAGACGAGGAGCUUGCUCCUCUGACGUUAGCGGCGGACGGGUGAGUAACACGUGGAUAACCUACCUAUAAGACUGGGAUAACUUCGGGAAACCGGAGCUAAUACCGGAUAAUAUAUUCAACCGCAUGGAUCAAUAGUGAAAGACGGUUUUGCUAUCACUUAUAGAUGGAUCCGCGCCGCAGUAGCUAGUUGGUAAGGUAACGGCUUACCAAGGCAACGAUGCGUAGCCGACCUGAGAGGGUGAUCGGCCACACUGGAACUGAGACACGGUCCAGACUCCUACGGGAGGCAGCAGUAGGGAAUCUUACGCAAUGGGCGAAAGCCUGACGGAGCAACGCCGCGUGAGUGAUGAAGGUCUUCGGAUCGUAAAACUCUGUUAUUAGGGAAGAACAAAUGUGUAAGUAACUAUGCACGUCUUGACGGUACCUAAUCAGAAAGCCACGGCUAACUACGUG
rnacentral:rRNA from 1 species